UUCCCUUCUUUAUGUUAAAAUAACAUGUUACAUCGUGUUAGCUAAUGUCCCAUUACAUGGCUUUGCUAUUUAAUCGAAUGGUCAGAUGGUUAUCAAAACCAGAUUACUCUGUUACAAUGUUGGGGGGCAAGAUCAUUUCCAGACGACUUGAUUAUUAGUCAAAGUGUUGUAAGUAGUAGGGCAACCUUCAUAUUGCGAUCUGUUAAGACUUAUCCUUUGAUUGGGCGAUUU
rnacentral:ncRNA from 1 species